UCGAAGCAACGCGAAGAACCUUACCAGGUCUUGACAUCCUCUGAAAACCCUAGAGAUAGGGCUUCUCCUUCGGGAGCAGAGUGACAGGUGGUGCAUGGUUGUCGUCAGCUCGUGUCGUGAGAUGUUGGGUUAAGUCCCGCAACGAGCGCAACCCUUGAUCUUAGUUGCCAUCAUUAAGUUGGGCACUCUAAGGUGACUGCCGGUGACAAACCGGAGGAAGGUGGGGAUGACGUCAAAUCAUCAUGCCCCUUAUGACCUGGGCUACACACGUGCUACAAUGGACGGUACAAAGAGCUGCAAGACCGCGAGGUGGAGCUAAUCUCAUAAAACCGUUCUCAGUUCGGAUUGUAGGCUGCAACUCGCCUACAUGAAGCUGGAAUCGCUAGUAAUCGCGGAUCAGCAUGCCGCGGUGAAUACGUUCCCGGGCCUUGUACACACCGCCCGUCACAC
rnacentral:rRNA from 1 species